rnacentral:rRNA from 1 species
AACGAACGCUGGCGGCAGGCCUAACACAUGCAAGUCGAACGCUCCAGCAAUGGAGAGUGGCAGACGGGUGAGUAACGCGUGGGAACCUUCCCUAUGGUUCGGAAUAGCUCAGGGAAACUUGAGGUAAUACCGGAUAAGCCCUUCGGGGAAAGGAUUUAUCGCCAUUGGAUGGGCCCGCGUAGGAUUAGCUAGUUGGUGAGGUAACGGCUCACCAAGGCGACGAUCCUUAGCUGGUCUGAGAGGAUGAUCAGCCACACUGGGACUGAGACACGGCCCAGACUCCUACGGGAGGCAGCAGUGGGGAAUAUUGGACAAUGGGCGCAAGCCUGAUCCAGCCAUGCCGCGUGAGUGACGAAGGCCUUAGGGUUGUAAAGCUCUUUUGGCGGGGAAGAUAAUGACGGUACCCGCAGAAUAAGCUCCGGCUAACUUCGUGCCAGCAGCCGCCGU